rnacentral:lncRNA from 1 species
AUGGAAAAAGCUGACAUAGAAUUUUUAAAUCUCUCGGAAAAAGAAAAAAAAAAACUAUAUUCUUAUAACUUCUAUACACUUGAAAAGUUGAGUACAAAUUAUUUGGAAGAUGUAGAAAUAAGGGACAUUAAUUUGAUACAAAAUAAAAUUUUUAAAUAUCACUUGGGUAAUCUAGGAAUUAACAGUGAAGAUGGAAAAAAUAACAAAAAAAACAUUUGUGCAAAUAUAAAUAACUUGCAUCAAAUAUACUCAUAUAGUGAUAACGAACAGUAUUGCUUUAAUCAUAAUAAGGGUUAUAAAAACGGUAAAACAAAUGAUGGUAAUUAUAUUUAUGGCAGCAGUUGUAGUAAUAGUGAUGAUAUCAGCAGUUAUUACACUGAUGACAAUAGUAAUGACAACAAUAGUGGCAUAAAUAGCGACAUAAAUAAUGAUAACAGUAGUGAUAACAGUGGUGAUAACAGUGGUGAUAACAAUGAUGAUAACAGUGGUGAUAACAGUAGUGACAACAGUAGUGACAACAGUAGUGACAACAGUUGUUAUAAUAAAGUAAAUGAUUCAUGUUUAUAUGGAUCUGACAUUUCACAUUCAGGUGAGUAUUACACAUGUACUCCUGCUCGUUGUGGUAAUUCUUUUUCACACAUUUCUAACAUAAACAAACAGCAAUAUGCCAAUAAAAUAAUAAACAAACAUGUAGACUAUCAAACAGACAAAUCAAUUAAAAAAAACUAUUAUAACAAAAACUAUUAUAACAAAAACUAUUAUAACAAAAAAAAAAAAAAAAAUUUAAAAUGGUUAAUUAAUUCAUUAAAUAAAACUUAUAACAAUGAACCGAAAUUUAUAAACAGUGUGACAAAUCCUAUAGAAUAUGAUAUAAUACAAUAUUCAAAUUUUAUGAAAAAUAAAUUAAGAAAUAUAGGUACAAUAAAUAUUAAUAACAAAUCAUUAAAUAAGUUAUUAAAUAAUGGUAUUUGUCGAUCUAAAAUAUAUUUUUUUUUUAGUAAUAAAAUAAAAAUAAAUAAAAUUGUGUUAGUUGACUUAUUAUACGAUUGUGUGACUCAUACUUCACCAACGUCUAGUGUUGUGUUUAUUUAUUUUAGUCAUGCUAAUGAUAUAUCAGAUAUUUAUAAUAUUAUAAAUGAAAAAAUAAAACAAAAUGGAAAAAGUAGAACAACCUACUAUGCACAGCAAACUUACCACGAAAACGAGUAUAAAAACCAAAACCAAUAUGAACAACAUGAACAAUAUAGUGGGAAAAAAACACAAAAUCAACUUAAUAAUAUUUUGCGUAAUUUUUAUAUAUUACGAGUUACAAGUAUUGAUGAUAUAAUUUCUUUUUUCGAACAAAUAAAAAAUAAUAAUUUAAAAAAUAAGGAUAGUUAUAAUAUAAACAAACUCGCAAAUACAAAUAUCGAAAUAAACAACUUAGUAUCCAUAGGGGUAUAUAACUUAACUUAUUUAAUUAAAAAAAUAUGCUCAGGUAAUCCCAAUGCAUAUUUUUAUAUACUCCGUGAAUUUAAAGUUAUAUCUAAUUUAUUAAAUGUUGCUAUCUUAUUUUUUGAUUAUAUAAAAAAAGAUUUAUUACAUGUAAAUAAUAAUAUACUAGCAAAUAAAGAACAGGAAAUGAAACAAAAUAAUAAAACAGAUGAUAAUAAUGAGUUAAAAGAAUAUAAAAUGGGUAAUGAUACCAUGAGUACUAACAGUAGUAGUAGUAGUAGUAGUAGUAAUCAUAGCGGUAGUAAUAGUAGUAUUGAUAGUAAUAGUAAUAAUAGUAUAAAAAAAAAAAAAAAAAAAAAACACAUUAUGAACAAAUAUUAUAAUAAGUUAAACACACCAAACGAAUUCAACAUCACUAUGGAAAAUAAAACAAACAUCACCAGUUAUAACGACGAUAUUAGUUACAAUCAUAACAACUUUAGUGAUUCAUUAUAUACAGAAAGUGUAACCAACUACUAUUCCAAACAAACAAACAAACAAANNNNNNNNNNNNNNNNNNNNNNNNNNNNNNNNNNNNNNNNNNNNNNNNNNNNNNNNNNNNNNNNNNNNNNNNNNNNNNNNNNNNNNNNNNNNNNNNNNNNAAAAAAAAAAAAAAAAAAAAAAAAAAAAAAAAAAAAAAAAAAAAUGGCCAAAAAGGGAAAAAUGGGAAAAGCGAGAGAAACGAAAAAAGCCAGAAAAAUUGGUAUGACUCAAUAAAUUAUAACAAUGAAACGUCUAAAAUAUAUGAAUAUGGUGAUGUUAGUAGUGGUAGUAGUAGUAGUAGUAGUAGUAGUAGUAGUGGUAGUAGUAGUAGUGGUAGUAGUAGUAGUGGUAGUAGUAGUAGUGGUAGUAGUAGUAUUAGUAGUAUUCGUAGUAGUGUUGGUGGUAGUGGUAGUAGUAGUAGUAGUAGUAAUAGCAGUACUAGUAGUGGUACAAAUAAAUGGGCACAAAUAAGUAACA